rnacentral:ribozyme from 1 species
AGAAAAAAAAAAAAAAAAAAAAAAAAAAAAGGAAAAAAAAAAAAAAAACUUAUUUAGUUCUAGCUC